AGAGUUUGAUCCUGGCUCAGAACGAACGCUGGCGGCAGGCUUAACACAUGCAAGUCGAACGCACCUUCGGGUGAGUGGCAGACGGGUGAGUAACGCGUGGGAACGUGCCCUUCAGUUCGGAAUAACCCAGGGAAACUUGGGCUAAUACCGGAUACGUGCGAGAGCAGAAAGAUUUAUCGCUGAAGGAUCGGCCCGCGUCUGAUUAGCUAGUUGGUGGGGUAAUGGCCCACCAAGGCGACGAUCAGUAGCUGGUCUGAGAGGAUGAUCAGCCACAUUGGGACUGAGACACGGCCCAAACUCCUACGGGAGGCAGCAGUGGGGAAUAUUGGACAAUGGGCGCAAGCCUGAUCCAGCCAUGCCGCGUGAGUGAUGAAGGCCUUAGGGUUGUAAAGCUCUUUCGGCGGGGACGAUAAUGACGGUACCCGCAGAAGAAGCCCCGGCUAACUUCGUGCCAGCAGCCGCGGUAAUACGAAGGGGGCUAGCGUUGUUCGGAAUCACUGGGCGUAAAGGGCGCGUAGGCGGCUUGAUAAGUCGGGGGUGAAAGCCUGUGGCUCAACCACAGAAUUGCCUUCGAUACUGUCUGGCUUGAGACCGGAAGAGGUAAGUGGAACUGCGAGUGUAGAGGUGAAAUUCGUAGAUAUUCGCAAGAACACCAGUGGCGAAGGCGGCUUACUGGUCCGGUUCUGACGCUGAGGCGCGAAAGCGUGGGGAGCAAACAGGAUUAGAUACCCCCGUAGUCC
rnacentral:rRNA from 2 species